AAAAUGUGUUGAUUUCUCAUUAAAACUUAUCAUUUGAUAAGAUAAGAUCAGAAUAAGAUAAAACAACUGUGUCUAUAGUGUGGUGUUUGAGUGAACAAUACAAAAAUUUCGCGAUGGCGCUUUGCAAACUUUCAAAAUCAUUUUUUGUAAUUCUGGUCCUUGCUGUAAUCAUAUCUCAGCAAGUUGAAGCUAGAAGGACAAUUCUCAAAGGCCGUAGAGCUAUGACUAGGACGUAUUUGCGUGAUUCCCCUAUUCCCGCCUGGGCUGUUGUUAUACUAGUAGGCCUCGGCGAAAUUAUUGUCGGAGCUAUAAUUUUCUUUGUGAUGAAGAGAGCCAUUCUAGACACACCUAUUGUUGGCUCUUACACUCCGGCAAAAACACUAGAGGAAGCAUAACAACACAACACAUUGAUUAUUUUUCGUAUUAUUGUGAGUCCGAUAGGUUGUGGAAGUCUAAACGCACCUUUAAAUUAAUGCCAACAUUUUUUUUCUCCCAGUCUUUUAUGCCUGCCACCUUGUAUUAAUUCAGAAUAAUUUUGCAACACCUACUUCAAUGCACAUUAAUAUGAAAAAGAGUAUAUUUUUAAUUUCUUAUGGGUAUUUUUUAUAUGUAUAGUAUUUAAUUAUUUUAUGAUGAAAUAAACUUUCCAAGUGUAAUUUAAA